rnacentral:lncRNA from 10 species
UGCUGGGAUUACAGGUGUGAGCCACUGUGCUUGGCCCGAAUCAGGAAUAAUUCUGAUGGCUAAGGAAGACAGCUUCCGAGAGAGUAGGAGAAAGGGCACAGGAUUCCAGGCAGAAGGCCCAUCUAGGGCAAAGGCGAAGGUGUGGCUCAGCCUGCCUCCUUUGGGGAAUGGCGAGUGUGUUCUGGGCUCAGGGUUCUUGGUAAGGGACAGAGAAGACUCGGGAAAGAUCAGUUGAGCUGGAAUGUGCAGGCUCUUGAGUACCCUGCUCAGGAGCUGGAGGUGGGCUACCCUGCAAACUCCAGGCCAUGAAGCCCAGGAAGAUGUCAGGCUGGUCUUCCCAUGCCCUUGUGUAUCUGAGACCAACUGUCACUAAAUGUUUCCUUUACGCCCUGGACACACAGCUAGACUCUACUUCUCAGAUUCUCUUGAAAUACAAGUCUUUAGCCAGAGGGUGUGGAGGGAAAUGCUGUGUAUCACUUUGAGGUUGAGGCCAUCAAAGCCUCCCACAGGUGGCCCCCUCUUUCUCUCCCCACGUACUUAUGAUGUUGAUGCCCAAGGCAGCUUGAGUACUACCUGCUGAAGGCAGGGCCUCUGUCACCAUAGAUCCUUGAAUAACAGUAUGGAGCAGAGCCCUCAUCUCAGCCAACUGGAUUUUAUCUGACCAACAGUCCAGCUUCUAUUGGGUUGAGCCAUGAGGUUUCAGGAUUUAUGUUAUGGCUGCUAGCUUUUAUUAAUGCAGACCUGCAGACCUAUGGGACAUGGGGAACUAAUUGGGGUUUGGGUUGUCAUCAGAGGUUUAUUUAUUUUUUUAAGACAGGGUGUUGCUCUGUCACCUAGGCUGGAAUGCAGUGGGUCAAUCAUGGCUCACUGCAGCCUCAAUCUCUCAGGCUCAAGUAAUCCUCCCAACUCAGCCUCCAGAGUAGCUGGGGCCACAGGCAAGUGCCACCACGCCUGGCUAAUUUUUUUUUUUUAAUUUUGUAGAGAUGGGGUCUCACUGCACCACCCAGGCUGGUCUCGAACUCCUGGGCUCAAGACCUCCCAAAGCACAGGCAUUACAGGCGUGAGCUACCAUGCCCAGCAGUCUCCAGAGGUUUAUACCCUGGUUUACCACUGUUGUUCCUCAUCUCACUAUUUUAACCCAGAACAAAUGAGAUAAAAGAACUUUAAUGCUGAAUUUUGAUGUUAAUUGAAAGCUAGCUUGUUGGAAACUCUGUUUACUGCUAUCUCAGGACGGGGUGAGCUGAUGUCCCCAGAAGACUACCAAAACGCAGGCACCUUCCCAGGGGAGGCUUACUGGCACCCAAACAGGUAGAGGUCUCUGGAAAUACUUUUGGAAGCUGAAGAACGCUCUGAUAUGGAAUGUAACAUUUUGCAGGCAGAGGUGUACUCUUUUUUUUUUUUUUUUUUUGAGACAGAGUCUCGGUCUCCCAGGCUGGAGUACAGUGGCACCAUCUUCUCAGGAGUUCGAGACCAGCCUGGGCAACAUAGUGAGACCCUAUCUCAUGGGAAAAAAAAGAAAAAAACAAAAACAGAUGAAGACACUGGUUCCUAAAUGAAGGUCCAGAACUGAAUCUAAUUCACUU